CACGCCCUAAACGAUGUAUGCUUGGUGUUGGGUAGCAAUACUCAGUGCCGGAGGAAAUCUGUUAAGCAUACCACCUGGGGAGUACGAUCGCAAGGUUGAAACUCAAAGGAAUUGACGGGGGCCCGCACAAGCGGUGGAUUAUGUGGUUUAAUUCGAUGCAACGCGAAGAACCUUACCAGGGCUCGAAGUGUGGCGGAAGACGGGUGAAAGCUCGUCGUCUUCGGACCGCCAUAGAGGUGC
rnacentral:rRNA from 1 species